GACAACCCACCGUCCCCUCCACCGAGGAAAAGACCUUGAUAUCAGUGGCUGCUCUGCUUUGAAUCUGGCCUGAUUGGGCCACAAAAGGAGUAGACCAAAAUGGCUUUGCCUCAUCCUGGACUGUUGGACAGUGAAAUGAGCCUGAGCUGCGGGGCUACCUCCCAUUUUGGAGGUUAGAUGAUGUCCUGCUUUUACUCAGCACCAUAAAGGAGGAGAAUGUGCAGACUGCAUGUGAACCAGUCCAUCUGCAAAGACAGCUCAGGACGUCACAGCAGAACUCCUGAUGGUCUCACCUCACAGCACCAUGAAUGUAUGAAAAUGCUCCAACCUCUCUCCUCACCGAAUGUGUCGCCCCCCUGCGACUUUGUCUACUUCCCAGAAAUGAAAAUCAGUUUUGGCACACGCCAGAUUUAAAUCAGUUGUGGAUCCCCCCGAGCAUCUGCAGGGAAGGAGAGUGGCUCCUCUCCAGCACCGUCACAUUGAACCUGCGACAGACACGUUUCACCGCACAGCUAAACAGCAGCUCACCAUCGCUGGGAGGAAGAAACGUGAUCAAAAAAUGACCUCUGCUGUCUGAAGUAACAGACCCAAGUGUCCCCCAAAAGCUGAUGCUUUUUUGGCAGAGAGGAGAGGAGAGGAGAGGAGAGGAGAGGAGAGGAGAGGAGAGGA